rnacentral:sRNA from 1 species
UGGGGCUGCCGGACCGUGAGGCUGUGAGUCGCGCGGACGGAGCCGGACAAAAGCGGGCGGCGGCGGCAGGAUGAACAGCAUCAAGAACGUGCCGGCGCGGGUGCUGAGCCGCAGGCCGGGCCACAGCCUGGAGGCCGAGCGCGAGCAGUUCGACAAGACCCAGGCCAUCAGCAUCAGCAAAGCCAUCAACACCCAGGAGGCCCCCGUGAAGGAGAAGCACGCCCGGCGCAUCAUUCUGGGCACACACCACGAGAAGGGGGCUUUCACCUUCUGGUCCUACGCCAUUGGGCUGCCGCUGCCCAGCAGCUCCAUUCUCAGCUGGAAGUUCUGCCACGUCCUCCACAAGGUCCUUCGAGACGGGCACCCCAAUGUGCUGCAUGACUGCCAGCGGUACCGCAGCAACAUCCGGGAGAUUGGAGACCUGUGGGGACAUUUGCAUGACCGCUACGGACAGCUGGUGAAUGUCUACACCAAGCUGCUGCUGACCAAGAUCUCCUUCCACCUCAAGCAUCCCCAGUUUCCCGCGGGCCUGGAGGUGACAGACGAGGUACUGGAGAAGGCAGCUGGGACCGAUGUCAACAACAUCUUCCAGCUCACUGUGGAGAUGUUUGAUUACAUGGAUUGUGAGCUGAAGCUUUCUGAAUCAGUUUUCCGACAGCUCAACACGGCCAUCGCCGUAUCCCAGAUGUCCUCAGGCCAGUGCCGCCUGGCCCCCCUCAUCCAGGUCAUCCAGGACUGCAGCCACCUCUACCACUACACGGUCAAGCUCCUGUUCAAGCUACACUCUUGUCUCCCUGCGGACACCCUGCAAGGCCACAGGGACCGGUUCCACGAGCAGUUUCACAGCCUCAGGAACUUCUUCCGCAGAGCCUCCGACAUGCUGUACUUCAAGCGGCUCAUCCAGAUCCCCCGGCUGCCCGAGGGACCCCCUAACUUCCUGCGGGCCUCAGCCCUGGCUGAGCACAUCAAGCCGGUGGUGGUGAUCCCCGAGGAGGCCCCGGAGGAUGAGGAGCCGGAGAAUCUCAUUGAGAUCAGCACAGGGCCCCCCGUGGGGGAGCCAGUGGUGGUGGCUGACCUCUUCGAUCAGACGUUUGGACCCCCCAAUGGCUCUGUGAAGGACGACAGGGACCUCCAGAUUGAGAGCUUGAAGAGAGAGGUGGAAAUGCUCCGCUCUGAACUGGAGAAGAUCAAGCUGGAGGUGCCGGGGUGGGGAUGGGUGGGGGCCAGGGCCCCUCACGGCCCAGGCAGGGCCCCACGUCACACCUCCUCCCGCAGGCCCAGCGGUACAUCGCGCAGCUGAAGAGCCAGGUGAAUGCACUGGAGGGUGAGCUGGAGGAGCAGCGGAAGCAGAAGCAGAAGGCCCUGGUGGAUAAUGAGCAGCUCCGCCACGAGCUGGCCCAGCUGAGGGCUGCCCAGCUGGAGGGCGAGCGGAGCCAGGGCCUGCGUGAGGAGGCUGAGAGGAAGGCCAGUGCCACAGAGGCGCGCUACAACAAGCUGAAGGAAAAGCACAGUGAGCUCGUCCAUGUGCAUGCGGAGCUGCUCAGAAAGAACGCGGACACAGCCAAGCAGCUGACGGUGACGCAGCAAAGCCAGGAGGAGGUGGCGCGGGUGAAGGAGCAGCUGGCCUUCCAGGUGGAGCAGGUGAAGCGGGAGUCGGAGUUGAAGGUAUGUCCCUUGUGGCACAGGGCCCUGCCCCGGCAUCCCCAGCCCACUGCCCCAGUGACACGCUGUCCUGUCCCAGCUAGAGGAGCAGAGCGACCAGCUGGAGAAGCUCAAGAGGGAGCUGGAGGCCAAGGCUGGAGAGCUGGCCCGCGCACAGGAGGCCCUGAGCCACACAGAGCAGAGCAAGUCGGAGCUGAGCUCACGGCUGGACACGCUGAGUGCGGAGAAGGAUGCUCUGAGUGGAGCUGUGCGGCAGCGGGAGGCAGACCUGCUGGCGGCGCAGAGCCUGGUGCGCGAGACAGAGGCGGCGCUGAGCCGGGAGCAGCAGCGCAGCUCCCAGGAGCAGGGCGAGUUGCAGGGCCAGCUGGCAGAGAGGGUAUGGCCUCCCCAGAUGCAGCAGCACUACUGAGUUCACUGCCAUCUGGCAACCAUCGAUCUGUCUCCGUGAUCUGCCUGUUCUAGAGAUUUCAUGUAAAGGGGAUCAUACACGAUGCAUCCUUUUGUGUCCGGCUUCUUCACUCAGCAUCACGUUGUCAAGGGUCACC